rnacentral:rRNA from 1 species
UAUUGGCCAAUGGGCGGGAGCCUGAACCAGCCAAGCCGCGUGACGGAGGAAGGCGCCAUGCGUCGUAAACUUCUUUUGUCGGGGAACAAAGGGCGCCACGCGUGGCGUUGUGAGUGUACCCGAAGAAAAAGCAUCGGCUAACUCCGCGCCAGCAGCCGCGGUAAUAAGGAGGAUGCGAGCGUUAUCCGGAGUUAUUGGGUUUAAAGGGUGCGUAGGCGGGCUGUUAAGUCAGCGGUCGAAUGUCGGGGCUCAACCCCGGCCUGCCGUUGAAACUGGCGGCCUCGAGUGGGCGAGAAGUAUGCGGAAUGCGUGGUGUAGCGGUGAAAUGCAUAGAUAUCACGCAGAACUCCGAUUGCGAAGGCAGCAUACCGGCGCCCUACUGACGCUGAGGCACGAAAGCGUGGGUAUCGAACAGG